rnacentral:rRNA from 1 species
AGAGUUUGAUCAUGGCUCAGGAUGAACGCUAGCGGCAGGCCUAAUACAUGCAAGUCGAACGGGGCAGCAAUGCCUAGUGGCGCACGGGUGCGUAACGCGUAUGCAACCUACCUUUCAGUGGGGGGAUAGCCCGGGGAAACCCGGAUUAAUACCGCAUAAUAUAGUUUUCUGGCAUCAGGAGAUUAUUAAACAUUUAUGGCUGAAAGAUGGGCAUGCGUUAGAUUAGCUAGUUGGCGAGGUAGUAGCUCACCAAGGCAAUGAUCUAUAGGGGUUCUGAGAGGAAGAUCCCCCACACUGGUACUGAGAUACGGACCAGACUCCUACGGGAGGCAGCAGUAGGGAAUAUUGGGCAAUGGAGGCAACUCUGACCCAGCCAUGCCGCGUGCAGGAAGAAGGCCUUCUGGGUUGUAAACUGCUUUUGGAAGGGAACAAAACGGCUCUGCGGAGCAACUUGAGUGUACCUUCAGAAUAAGCACCGGCUAACUCCGUGCCAGCAGCCGCGGUAAUACGGAGGGUGCAAGCGUUGUCCGGAUUUAUUGGGUUUAAAGGGUGCGUAGGCGGCUUAGUAAGUCAGGGGUGAAAGACUACAGCUUAACUGUAGCAGUGCCUUUGAUACUGCUAAGCUUGAGUACAGAUGAGGCUGGCGGAAUGGGUGGUGUAGCGGUGAAAUGCAUAGAUACCAUCCAGAACACCGAUUGCGAAGGCAGCCGGCUAAACUGUAACUGACGCUGAGGCACGAAAGCGUGGGGAUCGAACAGGAUUAGAUACCCUAGUAGUCC